rnacentral:rRNA from 1 species
AUUGAACGCUGGCGGCAGGCCUAACACAUGCAAGUCGAACGAGUGGCGGACGGGUGAGUAAUGCUUGGGAAACUGCCUGAUGGAGGGGGAUAACUACUGGAAACGGUAGCUAAUACCGCAUACCAUAAGAUGAGCCCAAGUGGGAUUAGCUAGUUGGUGGGGUAAAGGCUCACCAAGCCGACGAUCCCUAGCUGGUCUGAGAGGAUGACCAGCCACACUGGGACUGAGACACGGCCAAGACUCCUACGGGAGGCAGCAGUGGGGAAUAUUGCGCAAUGGGGGCAAUCCUGACGCAGCCCUGCCGCGUGAAUGAAGAAGGCCUUCGGGUUGUAAAGUUCUUUCAGCGGGGAGGCGUUACCUACAGAAGAAGCACCGGCUAACUCCGUGCCAGCAGCCGCGGUAAUUC